UACUCGGAAAUCAGGAGGACUUUUCCUGGACUGUUUUGUAUUCAUUGCAACACAGUUAACUAAUUUCAAGCCUAUGCGCACAAAUGAAAGCGUUGAAAAGAGUGGGAAAGCAGCAGAGGAACAAGGCGGAGAAGAGCAGCUCUGUGAGAUCGUGCACCCAUAACAAAUUCCCUGCUGCAAAACUCGCACAGUCUGCCAGUGACCAAAGGAAUACUUCUGAUUCUCCUUUAAUUGCAGACUUAAUAGGGGCUGAGGCAACUGCCGCUGCAUGCUGCUGCAUGACUCUUCAUUGCAACACAUCUAGAUUUGAAGCAGUGGUUUAGAGGUUUAAGUGGAGGUCAAGCAUCAAGGGAGUGAUGGAAUCACCAACCAAAACAACACUGAGGUCUUCUGGUUGUCUCCUUCAUGGCCAUAAACCCCAUGUUUUACACCACCAGUAUUUAGCCUGUCACUCCAUGUAACCUGCUUGGGCUAAAGGGCAUUUUCAGGCUUUAUUUUGGUUUAUGAAGCAAACUAUUUUAAGAGUGUCUUGUACAUUGCAAGUAUCCAUGGUGCAGUUGUUAAUCUAAGAGCUUAAGAUUAAUAGUAUGGAGUUCCUUAAAGCUUCUUGGCAGAAUUCAGCAUUGUAAAA